rnacentral:lncRNA from 1 species
AUGGAAGAAAUAAAAACGCUUCACGCCAGAAAAGAAAAGGCAACUGAAGUCCGGGGAUCUCACGAAUCUCUCAUUUGCCUCUUGGCUCGGGUUUUGUUCUGUGCGGGCCAACGUUCCAGGCUGCGGUUUCCUCUCAGGCUUCUCCCCAGGUCCCCGACCUGGGGGCAUGACAAGGAGCCAGGACCUGGAGCUUCCGAAGGCCAGCAGGUCGCCGUCAGACCUGAAGCCAGAAAACCAGCCCCGCCACCGGCUGGUGAGUUGGGCAUCGCAGUCCAACACCACUCUCUCUGAGAAGGGAAAGGUCCUCUAUCUGUGCUGAAAUGUGACUUAGCGCAACUGAGGAAAUGAAUUUUCAACUUGAUGUAAGGUGGGGUUUUUUUUAAUUUUUUUUUCUUUUUUCUUUUUACGGCUGCACCUGCGGCACAUGGAAGUUCCCAGGCCAGGGGUGGAAUUGGGGCUGCAGCUGCCGGCCUACGCCACAGCCACAGCAACACCAGAUCCAAGCCACAUCUUCGACUUACGCCGCAGCUUGCAGCAGUGCCCCAGGAUCCUUAACCCAUUGAGCGAGGUCAGGGAUCGAACCUGAAUCCUCACAGAGACAGUGUCGGGUCCUUAACCUGCUGAGCCACAGUGGGAACUCCUUUUUUAGAUUUUAAAAAUUGAAGUAUAGUUGAUUUACAGUUGAUUUGAUCGUUUCAGGCAUACAGCAAAGCGAUUCACGCAAUUUUAUUUAUUAUAAAUAGCCGCUUGUGGUUAGUGGCCACUAAAUUGGACAGUCCAGGGACACCUGACCAAAUAAAACCCCAAUGGAUGCCUCA